rnacentral:rRNA from 1 species
GUUAAAAUUAAUUUUUUUAAUAAAAAAAUAAAAACUAAAAUAAAAAAAAUUUGUUAAUUUUAAAAAAAAACCGAAGGGGGAAAUUAAUAACACUGUGAAAUUAAGAUUUUGUACCUUUAGUAUUAGGGAAUUUUAAAAAAAAUUAAGAAUUUAUUUUUCUCGAAAUUAAUUGAUCUAAAUUGUUAAAAGUUAUUCUUAGCGUUUUAAUGUUAAAAAUAAUAAUUUUUUAGAAGUGAAACUCUUUUCAAAAUUAAUGAUAUCUAGUUAUAAUAAUCAAUUAUAUAUUGACUUUUGAAUUAUUUUUAAUUAUUAAUUUCAAUGGUGAAAUUUUAUGGGAUAAGCUAUAAAGUUAAUAUUUUUAAAAAUUAACUUAAUUACAAAGAAGAAUUGAAAUUUUUCUUAAAUUUGUUAUAAAUAAUUUUUAUUAUUUAUUAAAUAAUAAAAUUUCUUAAUUAAAAAAUUUAACUUAGCAUUUUUUUAAAAAUGAAAUUAUUAGUAUAAGAAAUUAAACAACUUGAUUAUUUUUAAUAAUUUUAGUAAAAAUAAUAAAUAGUUUUAAAGAAUUCGGCAAAUCAAUUUUCUAACUGUUUAAUAAAAACAAUGUAUUUAGCUUAAAUUAAAUAUAAGUCCUGCUCAAUGAAAUAAUUUAAAUUGCUGUAGUAUUUUGACUAUACAAAGGUAUUGUAAUAAGACUUUAAUUGAGUGCUAAGAGAAUGGAAUAUUAGAAAAAUUCUUUUUUAAAAUUAAAAAUUGAAUUUAUUUUUAUUUGUGAAGAAACAAUAAUUUUAAUUAAGGACAAGAAGACCCUAAGAAUUUUAAAAGACCAAUUAGUAUUUAAUUUUAAAUUGGUCUUUUUAAUUGGGGCGAUUAAAAAAGAUUUUCAACUUUUUUUUAAAAAAAAGAUCCAUUAAUAAUGAUUAUAUGAAAAAAAUACUCUAGGGAUAACAGCGUAAUAAUUUUGGAUAGAUCUUAUAAAUAAAAUAGUUUGCGACCUCGAUGUUGGAUUAGGAUACUUAUUUAAUGAAGAAGUUAAUAAUAAGGAGUUUGUUCAACUUUUAAUUUCCUACAUGAUCUGAGUUUAGACCGAUGUGAAUCAGGUUGGUUUCUAUCUUAAUAUUAAUAAUUAUUUUAAUUAGUACGAAAGGAAUUUUAAAUAAAAAUUAUUUUUAUUAAGUUAACAGUUUUUGCAUCAAUUUUUGGAGUU